AUUGAACGCUGGCGGCAUGCCUUACACAUGCAAGUCGAACGGCAGCACGGGAGCAAUCCUGGUGGCGAGUGGCGAACGGGUGAGUAAUAUAUCGGAACGUGCCCAGUCGUGGGGGAUAACGUAGCGAAAGCUACGCUAAUACCGCAUACGAUCUAUGGAUGAAAGCGGGGGAUCGCAAGACCUCGCGCGAUUGGAGCGGCCGAUAUCAGAUUAGGUAGUUGGUGAGGUAAAGGCUCACCAAGCCGACGAUCUGUAGCUGGUCUGAGAGGACGACCAGCCACACUGGGACUGAGACACGGCCCAGACUCCUACGGGAGGCAGCAGUGGGGAAUUUUGGACAAUGGGCGCAAGCCUGAUCCAGCAAUGCCGCGUGCAGGAUGAAGGCCUUC
rnacentral:rRNA from 1 species